GACGAACGCUGGCGGCGUGCUUAACACAUGCAAGUCGAACGGUGACGAGGAGCUUGCUCCUCCGAUCAGUGGCGAACGGGUGAGUAACACGUGAGUAACCUGCCCCAGACUCUGGAAUAACAGUUGGAAACAGCUGCUAAUACCGGAUACGAGACGGAGAGGCAUCUCUACCGUCUGGAAAGUUUUUCGGUCUGGGAUGGACUCGCGGCCUAUCAGCUUGUUGGUGAGGUAAUGGCUCACCAAGGCGACGACGGGUAGCCGGCCUGAGAGGGCGACCGGCCACACUGGGACUGAGACACGGCCCAGACUCCUAGGGAGGCAGCAGUGGGAAUAUUGCACAAUGGGCGAAAGCCUGAUGCAGCAACGCCGCGUGAGGGAUGACGGCCUCGGUUGUAACCG
rnacentral:rRNA from 1 species